GAUGAACGCUGGCGGCGUGCCUAAUACAUGCAAGUCGAGCGAACAGACGAGGAGCUUGCUCCUCUGACGUUAGCGGCGGACGGGUGAGUAACACGUGGAUAACCUACCUAUAAGACUGGGAUAACUUCGGGAAACCGGAGCUAAUACCGGAUAAUAUAUUGAACCGCAUGGUUCAAUAGUGAAAGACGGUUUUGCUGUCACUUAUAGAUGGAUCCGCGCCGCAUUAGCUAGUUGGUAAGGUAACGGCUUACCAAGGCAACGAUGCGUAGCCGACCUGAGAGGGUGAUCGGCCACACUGGAACUUCGACACGGUCCAGACUCCUACGGGAGGCCGCAGUAGGGAAUCUUCCGCAAUGGGCGAAAGCCUGACGGAGCAACGCCGCGUGAGUGAUGAAGGUCUUCGGAUCGUAAAACUCUGUUAUUAGGGAAGAACAAAUGUGUAAGUAACUAUGCACGUCUUGACGGUACCUAAUCAGAAAGCCACGGCUAACUACGUG
rnacentral:rRNA from 1 species